AGCUUGCUACCUGACCUAGCGGCGGACGGGUGAGUAAUGCUUAGGAAUCUGCCUAUUAGUGGGGGACAACAUUCCGAAAGGAAUGCUAAUACCGCAUACGCCCUACGGGGGAAAGCAGGGGAUCUUCGGACCUUGCGCUAAUAGAUGAGCCUAAGUCAGAUUAGCUAGUUGGUGGGGUAAAGGCCUACCAAGGCGACGAUCUGUAGCGGGUCUGAGAGGAUGAUCCGCCACACUGGGACUGAGACACGGCCCAGACUCCUACGGGAGGCAGCAGUGGGGAAUAUUGGACAAUGGGCGAAAGCCUGAUCCAGCCAUGCCGCGUGUGUGAAGAAGGCCUUUUGGUUGUAAAGCACUUUAAGCGAGGAGGAGGCUACUGAGAUUAAUACUCUUGGAUAGUGGACGUUACUCGCAGAAUAAGCACCGGCUAACUCUGUGCCAGCAGCCGCGGUAAUACAGAGGGUGCGAGCGUUAAUCGGAUUUACUGGGCGUAAAGCGUGCGUAGGCGGCUUUUUAAGUCGGAUGUGAAAUCCCUGAGCUUAACUUAGGAAUUGCAUUCGAUACUGGGAAGCUAGAGUAUGGGAGAGGAUGGUAGAAUUCCAGGUGUAGCGGUGAAAUGCGUAGAGAUCUGGAGGAAUACCGAUGGCGAAGGCAGCCAUCUGGCCUAAUACUGACGCUGAGGUACGAAAGCAUGGGGAGCAAACAGGAUUAGAUACCCUGGUAGUCCAUGCCGUAAACGAUGUCUACUAGCCGUUGGGGCCUUUGAGGCUUUAGUGGCGCAGCUAACGCGAUAAGUAGACCGCCUGGGGAGUACGGUCGCAAGACUAAAACUCAAAUGAAUUGACGGGGGCCCGCACAAGCGGUGGAGCAUGUGGUUUAAUUCGAUGCAACGCGAAGAACCUUACCUGGUCUUGACAUAGUAAGAACUUUCCAGAGAUGGAUUGGUGCCUUCGGGAACUUACAUACAGGUGCUGCAUGGCUGUCGUCAGCUCGUGUCGUGAGAUGUUGGGUUAAGUCCCGCAACGAGCGCAACCCUUUUCCUUAUUUGCCAGCGGGUUAAGCCGGGAACUUUAAGGAUACUGCCAGUGGCAAACUGGAGGAAGGCGGGGACGACGUCAAGUCAUCAUGGCCCUUACGACCAGGGCUACACACGUGCUACAAUGGUCGGUACAAAGGGUUGCUACCUAGCGAUAGGAUGCUAACCUCAAAAAGCCGAUCGUAGUCCGGAUUGGAGUCUGCAACUCG
rnacentral:rRNA from 1 species